CAUGCUAACCUGUCACCAUUACAAUAACAGGGGAGGUUAGCAUUUUAUAUCAUACCCCCAAGACAUGCUAACCUCUCACCAUUACAAUAACAGGGGAGGUUAGCAUUUUAUAUCAUACCCCCAAGACAUGCUAACCUCUCACCAUUACAAUAACAGGGGAGGUUAGCAUUUUAUAUCAUACCCCCAAGACAUGCUAACCUCUCACCAUUACAAUAACAGGGGAGGUUAGCAUUUUAUAUCAUACCCCCAAGACAUGCUAACCUCUCACCAUUACAAUAACAGGGGAGGUUAGCAUUUUUGGAGAGUAUGAUGUUUUUGUCUGUUCUCACUCAUCAUUAAUCAUGAUUCAUUCAGGAUUAUCCGUAAUCAUGAGAACAUCCACGUUAAUGUAGAAGUGUUGAGAAACAUAGUUGAUUCUAAUCUCCAUUAUUUAACAUUUCUAUUGGGCACAAAAUAAUCUGAAACUCAACCAAAACAAACAUCAAAUGCAUCCAACAAGUUUGUAGAGUCACAAGAUUGAUAUAUUUAAAGCUAUGAACAAGGGACCAAAUACUAAACUGUUGACUACCUUAAUACAUAGAAGUGAAUUUGUCCCAGUACUUUUGGUCUCCUAAUAUGGGGGACUGUGUACAAAAAGGGAUGUUUAAACCGUUCAUCCGAUAUCAUCAAGGUGAACACAGCAGUAAGUCAUCAAGGUGAAUACAGCAGUAAGUCAUCAAGGUGAAUACAGCAGUAAGUCAUCAAGGUGAACACAGCAGUAAGUCAUCAAGGUGAACACAGCAGUAAGUCAUCAAGGUGAACACAGCAGUAAGUCAUCAAGGUGAACACAGCAGUAAGUCAUCAAGGUGAACACAGCAGUAAGUCAUCAAGGUGAACACAGCAGUAAGUCAUCAAGGUGAAUACAGCAGUAAGUCAUCAAGGUGAACACAGCAGUAAGUCAUCAAGGUGAACACAGCAGUAAGUCAUCAAGGUGAACACAGCAGUAAGUCAUCAAGGUGAACACAGCAGUAAGUCAUCAAGGUGAAUACAGCAGUAAGUCAUCAAGGUGAACACAGCAGUAAGUCAUCAAGGUGAAUACAGCAGUAAGUCAUCAAGGUGAACACAGCAGUAAGUCAUCAAGGUGAAUACAGCAGUAAGUCAUCAAGGUGAACACAGCAGUAAGUCAUCAAGGUGAACACAGCAGUAAGUCAUCAAGGUGAACACAGCAGUAAGUCAUCAAGGUGAAUACAGCAGUAAGUCAUCAAGGUGAACACAGCAGUAAGUCAUCAAGGUGAACACAGCAGUAAGUCAUCAAGGUGAACACAGCAGUAAGUCAUCAAGGUGAACACAGCAGUAAGUCAUCAAG